GUCAGGAUGGCCGAGCGGUCUGAGGUGCCGCGUUCAGGUCGCGGUCUCCCCUGGAGGCGUGGGUUCGAAUCCCACUUCCGACA
rnacentral:tRNA from 1 species